rnacentral:lncRNA from 1 species
UUUCAACUCUUUGAGCUAUUUUUCUUUGUGAGAUUUCUCUUUUAUUUAUUAAUCUAGAAGUAGGUUUUGUUCUUGGUUUUGAAGGCGUGGGAGAACUUUCAUCCUCCAAUUUAUUAGGGUUCGACUUUAGAGGGUUGGUUAGAGCCAUUUGUGGAGCUUGUUGAACAAAAUUCUUCAAAGGUUUUUAUAGGAUAUUGACUUUUCAUUAUCAUUGGUUGUUUUUAUUGAAGCUUUGUUCUUUAAGGGGGACAAAUUUUCCAUCAUCCAUUUUAUUUUCGUUUUCUUCCAUUCAAUAUUUUUUUUUCAUCCCACCCUAAUAUUUAUUUUUUCUUGAUUUUAUGUUUUGUUUUUCUCUUUAUUUUCAUUAUUUCUAAUCCGUUUUGUUUCUUCUUUUAGGUUAAAUUCAAAUAUUAUUUCAAGUUAAACAACUUGAAUAUGAUCUUCUUCCAUUGUCACCGUAUCAUUUGGUAUCACUCCACCUCGUGGGUCUACAACAAUGCGUGCACAUAUAGUGAGGACCACACCUCUAAUUGAGGCAGCAUAUCUGUACAUCAUAUUAAUCAUUAUCCUAAGAGAACAAUGCGUACCUAGGAGAAAGCAUGUUGAUAGUUCGGUUGAGCUCCAAAGAGUAUGAAGCCAACUAAGAACCAACAUGUGAGACCUUAGGAAGGGUCGACGAUGCCCUUUAUAAGACCCUCUAAGGUUAAGGUUUCAAUUUCUCUCUCUCUCUCUCUCUCUCUCUCUCUCUCUCUCUCUCUCUCUCUCUCUCUCUCUCUCUCUCCCCCUCCUCCUUCCCUCAUCUUUCCCAACCUCAUUUCUUUCUCCUAAGCACUCAUAACACCUCUUAAGGCUCUCUGCCCAUCGGAUGAAUCGUCACCAACCACUAUGAUCCUACUUGGUAUCAACAGGCAUACAUGUAUAAAGUUAUAUAACUCUAUUUUACAAUAUAUAUAUAUAUUAAGAAUUCUAUAAACCGAGGCAUGCAUGAAGGAAAUGAAAAGACAUUAUUCUUGUGAAAACUAUUAUUCAUUGAGAUACUCCAACAACACAGGAGUGUACAUGCUUUUUCUUUCUCAUAACACUAUACUUUAAACAUAGAAUCUCUCUAAAUAAUCUAAUAUGAAUAUUAGAUAGCAAUUGCACCUUCAAUUUAUAAUGAGAAUGUGUUACUUUUUUUUCCCAACAUAUUAGACUCUUCAAUCUCUUGUGCACACUUGAAGUUGCAAUACCAAGUUUAGGAUUGUUAAAUAUGUUUUUUUUUUGUAUAAUUAAGUUUUAUGGUUCAUGAAGUUCAAUCCUUUCUGGAUUUAUAACUAUCUCUCUCAAUAACAUUAUCUCU